UACGGAAGGUGCAAGCGUUAUCCGGAAUCACUGGGUUUAAAGGGUGCGUAGGCUGUUCUAUAAGUCAGAGGUGAAAGGUGUCGGCUUAACCGACAAAUUGCCUUUGAAACUGUAGAACUUGAAAGAGGAUGAGGUUGGCGGAAUGUGGCAUGUAGCGGUGAAAUGCAUAGAUAUGCCAUAGAACACCGAUUGCGAAGGCAGCUGACCGGCCCUACUUUGACGCUGAGGCACGAAAGCGUGGGGAGCGAACAGG
rnacentral:rRNA from 1 species